UUAAUCAGCCUUCAGCACUCUGACACCUGUAAUUAUUUUCGUCUAUUUAACAGGUAAUGCUUCUUUGUGAAAGGUGCAUGGACGGCUUUUUGCUUCAUAAUUCUAGUUUAAAACUGGGACUUUAAUGACCUGCAAGAUGCACGGUGAAGAUGAAACGUGUCUGUCUCAGUGAGUUUUCAUCAGAACAAACAGCAGUGAGGUUAAUUCCAUGCAAAAGACUAAAAUACCUUAUGAGUCUUUAAAAAAAUUAAAAAUUAAAAAUUAUAUAUAUAUAUAUAUAUAUAUAUAUAUAUAAGGCUCUAUAUCCCAGUUGUGUUUUCUAAUACUUCCUACCAGAGCAGUCAUGGUGGCAGUCCUUCUAACUACUGUUACAGCCUAAUCUGUUCACUGAAGCCUGGACUAAUGCAGUUUUUAUCUUUUAUGUGACGAUAGUUUAUGAUUACAUUGCAUUACAUUUGCAAGUACCUCUGAAGCAGCGGCUAAAUUACCUUUUAAUGCAAGAGACUGAGUAGUAAAUAAUAAGGCAACGUUCCAGCUGACAUCGGCGAGCGGCAUCGUAACCUGAUGACUGUCUCGAUACGAAGAUCUCACAGCAUCUCUGACACGCUGCGGUUUGUUUGUUUUGAAGUGGAAAGAAGGAGUCCUGGCCGGUACCAGGGCUAAUGAGGAAACUACACGAAUAACCCUUGAUGUUUACUGCUUAUUAGAGUAUUUAUGGAUGAAGGAUGAACGUCUACAACCAGACAGAAACACCCAAUAACAGAUGAUAGAUGCCAGUCGCUCCCCCCCUCAGCACCAGGCUCCUGUCACAGUGAUACCUUGGAAGACCAAUGAGUCAUCGUGGCUGCAUAACACACACACACACACACACACACACACACACACACACACACAUACACGCACACACACUCUCACACACACACACACAUCAACAUCCUGGCGUGUGGGAUUAAUGAGGACUACAAGUUGUUCAGAUUCUCGUGAUCAUCACUUAAAGAACACACAUGUUGAAAACCUGUUCUUCAGGUGAAGGUGGACAGAUGAUGGAUGGAUGGACGAGUUCUGAACAUGACUUUGUUUUGUAGAAGCGUCCCGACAGCAGCAGCAUGAGUUAAUUUAAGUCAGUGCAGAAUAGUGGGUUGUGUGUUUAUCAGUUGGGGGAUGCAGGAAGUUGUUUGUUCUUGUUUUUACCAUAUGAGAAGAGUCUGUCUCUAUCAAACCUGCUUAAAUGAAGUGAUGCAGUCCUCACAUUCAGUCCUUUCAUCAUCAAACGUAAUCAGCUUGGACCAGGACGGGACUCGUGUGGUUCUAGAUUUUGUUAUUGUCAAUCCAUGGCAGCAGUGAAGAGACCAGAAGCAACCGCCCAGACCUUUGUGUUCCCAUCCCAGACCAAUAUCUUUGAAUACAACUCAGCACAGUUCUUAUUAUUUUAUUCCUUAAAAAGCCUUGUAUGUAGCCUCGACACCUGGACCAGCGGCCCGGUACGAGCUUUAAUGCCAGCAGCCUGUGACGUUUGGUUCAAGGUUCUCAAGGGACUUUAAAUACUGUUUAUUGUUUCUAUGUGGUGAUUUUCUGCAUCGACCAUAAUCCCAGUUUUAAUCCUGUCCUUAUAUUUUCCAGCAUUGUUGAUUUAGUGUGUACUAGUUGGUCUGUGGAAGUAUUCAGAUGCACUAUUACACACUAGCAGUGCCUGUGCUGACACACUGAAAGCUUCCUAAUAAACUCUACUGAACACCAA